UGCGUUCCUUGCGCCGUCAUUUCAAUUAUUUUCGUCGAACUGUGCAGUGCUAAGUUAAAAAUCUCUACCAUCUCUUACGCAUUUAAAAGAAUUUUCUGCCAAUCGGUAAUUAGAUUAUUAAUAAAAGAAAUAAAAUGUCUUACAAAAGAAAAAGCCGAACAUAUAUCGGAGAGGCUCGACACGUGCAAAGAGCUACUGGAGAUUUUGAGGUUAAAUUGAACAAUUUCAAUUUUGAGGAAAUGGGAGCAGAAAAUACUCAAAUAACAGACAUAUCUAAUACGGCUCCAAAUAAUCGGUCCAAUAAUUAUGAUAUAUUAAACCACCUAAAAAAAUAAUCGAAAACCAGCAGGACAUCAACAAAAAACUUGAAACCAUUAUUGGUAAAGUUGAUCGACAGGGGGCGGAACUUAUUUCGUUGCGUAAUGAAGUCGCGUCAAUUAAGGCUCGAGUGUGCGGAGAGCCUAACAUCGUA